UACAGAGGUCUCAAGCGUUGUUCGGAUUCAUUGGGCGUAAAGGGUGCGUAGGCGGCGCGGUAAGUCGGGUGUGAAAUCUCGGAGCUUAACUCCGAAACUGCAUUCGAUACUGCCGUGCUUGAGGACUGGGAGAGGAGACGUUGGAAUUUACGGUGUAGCGGAUGAAAUGCGUAGAUAUCGUAAGGAAGACCAGUGGCGAAGGCGGGUCUCUGGACAGUUCCUGACGCUGAGGCACGAAGGUCAGGGGAGCAAACGGG
rnacentral:rRNA from 1 species